CACUUGUUAUGUUUGGUAAAGUUACGAGGGUGUUAGUGAAUCAGUUUGGUCAGUGUAAUGUAGGAUGUUGUUGUUCAUUAACCCAGCCGCUGCGAUUGGCACGGAUUUGGCUUUUCUGGUAGCCUGGUAACAUAGAGUCCCAGGUCUUUCUCUGCCUCUGUGGUGGAUAGUGGAGUGUUUCCCAUGUGGUAUUGGUGUGCUGGAUAUCCCUUCACUGGUAGCCUGGUAACAUACACUCCCAGGUCUUUCUCUGCCUCUGUGGUGGAUAGUGGAGUGUUUCCCAUGUGGUAUUGGUGUGCUGGAUAUCCCUUCACUGGUAGCCUGGUAACAUACACUCCCAGGUCUUUCUCUGCCUCUGUGGUGGAUAGUGGAGUGUUUCCCAUGUGGUAUUGGUGUGCUGGAUAUCCCUUCACUGGUAGCCUGGUAACAUACACUCCCAGGUCUUUCUCUGGCUCUGUGGUGGAUAGUGGAGUGUUUCCCAUGUGGUAUUGGUGUGCUGGAUAUCCCCUCCCAAGGUGCAGGACUUUACAUUUUUCUUCACUGAAUUGCAACAGCCACUUUUUGUUCCACUCCUGUAGCUUGGUGAGGUCUUCUGGUAGGAAAUCCGCAGUCAGGAGGUUAAGGUGACGAGGGUGUUGAUAAAUUACCCCUUGUUAAUUAAGUUAGUGGGAGUAUGAGCGGUUUUAAUUGAGUCAGUAAGGUUGUUAGUAAGUCAGUAAGGGUGUUAGUAAGUAGGUGUGGGUGCUGGUAAGUCACUCAUAAUCUCCCUGACUCCUCCCUUCUCCCUCCAGGAAAUACAAGCCGGCCUCCUUUUGUUUGAGUCAGUAAGGGUGUUAGUAUGUCAGUAAGGGUGUUAGUAUGUCAAUAAGGGUGUUAGUAAGUCAGUAAGGGUGUUAGUAAGUAGGUGUGGGUGCUGGUAAGUCACUCAUAAUCUCCCUGACUCCUCCCUUCUCCCUCCAGGAAGUACAAGCCGGCCUCCUUUUGUUUGAGUUAGCAAGGGUGUUAGUAUGUCAGUAAGGGUGUUAGUAAGUCAGUAAGGGUGUUAGUAAGUAGGUGUGGGUGCUGGUAAGUCACUCAUAAUCUCCCUGACUCCUCCCUUCUCCCUCCAGGAAGUACAAGCCGGCCUCCUUUUGUUUGAGUUAGCAAGGGUGUUAGUAUGUCAGUAAGGGUGUUAGUAAGUCAGUAAGGGUGUUAGUAAGUAGGUGUGGGUGCUGGUAAGUCACUCAUAAUCUCCCUGACUCCUCCCUUCUCCCUCCAGGAAGUACA